UACAUGGGGUGCAAACGUUGCUCGGAAUUAUUGGGCGUAAAGCGCGCGUAGGCGGUUAUCUAAGUCGGAUGUGAAAGCCCUCGGCUUAACUGAGGAAGUGCACCCGAAACUGGAUAGCUAGAGUACGAAAGAGGGUCGCGGAAUUCCCGGUGUAGAGGUGAAAUUCGUAGAUAUCGGGAGGAACACCGGUGGCGAAGGCGGCAUCCUGGACCGGUAUUGACGCUGAGGAGCGAAAGCCAGGGGAGCAAACGGG
rnacentral:rRNA from 1 species